UACGGGGGGGGCAAGCGUUGUUCGGAAUCAUUGGGCGUAAAGCGCGUGUAGGCGGUUCGGUAAGUCCGCUGUGAAAGUCGGGGGCUCAACCCUCGGAUGCCGGUGGAUACUGUCGGACUAGAGUACGGAAGAGGCGAGUGGAAUUCCUGGUGUAGCGGUGAAAUGCGCAGAUAUCAGGAGGAACACCAAUUGCGAAGGCAGCUCGCUGGGACGUUACUGACGCUGAGACGCGAAAGCGUGGGGAGCAAACAGG
rnacentral:rRNA from 1 species